AUCCAGUUUUGAGGGCCGUGACGCCCGGCCGUCCUCUUGAUGGCGGUGUUGCAUCCGCGUCCCUUUCUUGCUGUUUCAAUAAAAUCUUCCCCUGCAUUGCAAGCAUUCAGAUUCAUCUAUAUAUUUGUGAAGGGAUGUAUCUGUUGGUCGAUAAUCCAUCGAAAACACUUCUGGCCUUGAUACUCAUUUUAUUGGGACCUGCUUCUGUCUCGACGAACAUACAUCAGAUGUUCAGGACACACCAUACUGAUAUGAAAAAGGAAGAAGUAACUGGCGUUCAUCAGAGGCAAAG